UGGGGAAUAUUGCACAAUGGGCGCAAGCCUGAUGCAGCCAUGCCGCGUGUAUGAAGAAGGCCUUCGGGUUGUAAAGUACUUUCAGCGGGGAGGAAGGGAGUAAAGUUAAUACCUUUGCUCAUUGACGUUACCCGCAGAAGAAGCACCGGCUAACUCCGUGCCAGCAGCCGCGGUAAUACGGAGGGUGCAAGCGUUAAUCGGAAUUACUGGGCGUAAAGCGCACGCAGGCGGUUUGUUAAGUCAGAUGUGAAAUCCCCGGGCUCAACCUGGGAACGGCAUCUGAAACUGGCAAGCUUGAGUCUCGUAGAGGGGGGUAGAAUUCCAGGUGUAGCGGUGAAAUGCGUAGAGAUCUGGAGGAAUACCGGUGGCGAAGGCGGCCCCCUGGACGAAGACUGACGCUCAGGUGCGAAAGCGUGGGGAGCAAACAGG
rnacentral:rRNA from 1 species